AUCCCAUGAUGAGGACACUCGAGAAUGUAGUCUUGAAAGUGCUCCCAAACUUCUGGUACUGACGCAUCAUGUUGUUGCUGAAAGCUUGAUAUCUUCCCACAAAGAGC
rnacentral:snoRNA from 1 species